UAGGGAUGUAAACGGGUAGGGUACCCGCAAAAUUGAGAGUACCCAAAUUCGAACCCGAUUAUAUAUCCAAUUCCCGAACCCGUCCCAAAUCCGUUUAGUAUUUUAAUUAUAAAACCCGUAUCCGUUCCAUAUCCGUUUAACAAUACCCUAAGGAUACCCGAACCCGAUUUUUUUAAUUCAAUUCAAUGAUAAAAACUAUCAAAUAAUCUAUCAAAAAUUGUAAAUCAAAGAUUGN
rnacentral:lncRNA from 1 species